GAUUCGUUUCUUACUUCCAGAGAUUUUAUAUUCGGUUUAUAAAGAUUAUUUAAAUAGGUAGUAAAGGGGCCUAUAGCUCAGCUGGCUAGAGCGCUCGACUGAUAAUCGUGAGGUCUCAGGUUCAAGUCCUGAUAGGCCCACCAUUAAAUAAUCUAGUAAAGAUUAAUUUAGGUUGGGGAAUUAGCUCAGCUGGGAGAGCGCCUGCUUUGCACGCAGGAGGUCAGCGGUUCGAUCCCGCUAUUCUCCACCACCUAUAACUAAUAAGUUCAUGUGAUUUAAAAAGUUAAAUAUAAGUUCAAUAGUAGAUUGAAUUUAUAUUUGAUUUUCAAAAUCAAAACGAUAUUUAAAAAUAUAAUGUUAAAGUCUUUAAUUUUUUCGUAAGAAUUAAAUAAUAGAUAUAAAAAGAGAUUUUUAUAUAGAUUAGAUAAUUUUAAACAAAAAAAAUUUCAUAUCUAAGAAAUUAGAUAGAACACAACAUUGUUUUAUUGGAUAUAUUUUAAGUAAUAUGUUUAAUAAGAUAGUAGCCAAAGAAUAUUAUCAAAAAUGCGAUAGAGUUUAACUCUAUUUAUUAAUAAGCUAUUAAGGGCUAAUGGUGGAUGCCUUGGC
rnacentral:tRNA from 1 species